CUCCUGCUAUAAUCGUUGUCUCAUCAUGAGUCAGUUCUCCACCUUUUCCUGCCUCAUUACCAUGAAAGUUUACUAGUGUUUUCAACUCAGCUCUGCGAAACAGUGCUACAUGUCCAUGACCCAGCAGAAAGUCCAGAAGCUUGCUUAUAGGAUAAGCAACAGGGAAGCAGAUCCACACAAGAACACGAACAAUUGGAGCCACUGUUGCACCAAUUGCCAAACCAUAACGAGAACAGACAGAUUGUGGUAUAAUCUCACCAAAUAGGAGAAUCAAGGUAACUGAAAUUAGAAUAGCACCCCAAGCUGUAACCAGACUAUCCAGAAAAAUAGGAAGGGCCUCCAUGGCAGCAGCAUUGCAAAUGAGCAGCGUGCAGAGCAAUAAAUGUUGAUUUUUGACAACCGGCAAUAUCUUUGCUGCGUGUUUGCGAUCUUUCGGGGUCCCGGACUGGGCAAGAACUUCAAGAUCGACGAUACUCAUAGACAUAAGUCCAAGAGUAAGCCCAGACAUCGAUCCAGCGAAAAUCACCAGCAAUACAAUUAUCAAAAUUUGUAUAAAGAAAUCCGUUUC
rnacentral:misc_RNA from 1 species